rnacentral:rRNA from 1 species
CCUACGGGAGGCAGCAGUGGGGAAUAUUGGACAAUGGGCGAAAGCCUGAUCCAGCCAUGCCGCGUGUGUGAAGAAGGUCUUCGGAUUGUAAAGCACUUUAAGUUGGGAGGAAGGGCAGUAAAUUAAUACUUUGCUGUUUUGACGUUACCGACAGAAUAAGCACCGGCUAACUCUGUGCCAGCAGCCGCGGUAAUACAGAGGGUGCAAGCGUUAAUCGGAAUUACUGGGCGUAAAGCGCGCGUAGGUGGUUCGUUAAGUUGGAUGUGAAAUCCCCGGGCUCAACCUGGGAACUGCAUUCAAAACUGACGAGCUAGAGUAUGGUAGAGGGUGGUGGAAUUUCCUGUGUAGCGGUGAAAUGCGUAGAUAUAGGAAGGAACACCAGUGGCGAAGGCGACCACCUGGACUGAUACUGACACUGAGGUGCGAAAGCGUGGGGAGCAAACAGGAUUAGACUACCUGGUAGUCCACGACCGUAACGAUAGUCACUAGCGUGGUAGCGU